UACGAAGGGUGCAAUCGUUGCUCGGAAUUACUGGGCGUAAAGCGCACGUAGGCGGCUUGGCAAGUCGGAUGUGAAAUCCCUCGGCUCAACCAAGGAAGUGCAUCCGAAACUGCCGAGCUUGAGUACUUAAGAGGAUCGCGGAAUUCCCGGUGUAGAGGUGAAAUUCGUAGAUAUCGGGAGGAACACCAGUGGCGAAGGCGGCGAUCUGGGAAGAUACUGACGCUGAGGUGCGAAAGCGUGGGGAGCAAACAGG
rnacentral:rRNA from 1 species